ensembl:lncRNA
CCCUGUUGGGGACGGCGGGCGCUGCCCCCUGCUCUUCCUGGGUCCCCAGUCUUCCCAGCAACCUGGGAAGUACUGACCCCCGGUUCACAGUCCGGAGACAGCUCAGAGGAGAGGAGGGACCUAAACGGGACCGCCAAGGCCUCUGGGCCUCACGCCCUCACGGAAGCCCUGGGCCUGUCGCACGCCAGCGCUUAAUAGUUUGUGCCUCCGCUGGAGCUUGGAAACCCGCAUCUGUGAAUGAGAGGACGUGAGGUUACCCAACAAGCAGGCCCUUCCCCAUCAGUCGUGGCUGAGCCAGGGGUAACCUGCUCUCCCAGCUCCGCCUCCCCACCCCAGCACAGACUGCAAGGGACAAAGGUGCGCCAGAAAGGCCAGCCACUGGAUGCUCGUUUUAACAGAAACAGUUCUUGAAGAAGACUUGGAAACACCUCCUCGUGGCACAGCAGUAAAGAUUCUGCGUGUCAGCGCAGGAGAUGCAGGUUCGAUCCCUGUUCCAAGAAGAUCCCACGUGCCGAGAAGCAGCUAAGCCCAUGUGCCACAACUACAGAGCUUGUGCUCUGGAGCCCAGAAUCCGUGCCUAUGCAAGCCUGCAGGCCCUAGAGCCCAUGAUUCUGCAGCGGGAGGGCCACAGCAGUGAGCAGCCCAUGUGCCGCCAGGGGGCCACAGCUGGAGAGAAGCCUGUGCCGCGGCGAAGACCCAGCAAAGUCAAACAUUUUUAAAAAUAGAAAAAAAAAAUUACUUCUCUCCUGUGCAUAUUUUUCAGAUUGCUGAAAUUCUGCUCCUAAUCCACUUUUACAUCAUGAGUACAUUAACCAAAAAAAUAUAUCUUAGCGUUGCCAGUUCCACAGAAGUGAGAAUAUGGUUUUAACUGGUCUGUGUGCAUGUUUGGCUGCGAGCCCUCGGCAGGGGACGUGGUUGGGUCCACAUGGUCAGGUAGUGGACGUGCUGUCCCCUGGCUAGGGGCAGCGAAGCUCCC